rnacentral:rRNA from 1 species
GACGAACGCUCGCGGCGUGCUUAACACAUGCAAGUCGAACGGAAAGGCCCUGCUUUUGUGGGGUGCUCGAGUGGCGAACGGGUGAGUAACACGUGAGUAACCUGCCCUUGACUUUGGGAUAACUUCAGGAAACUGGGGCUAAUACCGGAUAGGAGCUCCUGCUGCAUGGUGGGGGUUGGAAAGUUUCGGCGGUUGGGGAUGGACUCGCGGCUUAUCAGCUUGUUGGUGGGGUAGUGGCUUACCAAGGCUUUGACGGGUAGCCGGCCUGAGAGGGUGACCGGCCACAUUGGGACUGAGAUACGGCCCAGACUCCUACGGGAGGCAGCAGUGGGGAAUAUUGCACAAUGGGCGGAAGCCUGAUGCAGCAACGCCGCGUGCGGGAUGACGGCCUUCGGGUUGUAAACCGCUUUCGCCUGUGACGAAGCGUAAGUGACGGUAAUGGGUAAAGAAGCACCGGCUAACUACGUG